UACGUAGUCAGCAAGCGUUGUUCGGAAUUACUGGGCGUAAAGAAUGUGUAGGCGGUGCUCUAAGUUCGGUGUGAAAUCUCCCGGCUCAACUGGGAGGGUGCGCCGGAAACUGGAAUGCUUGAGCGUGGGAGGGGAAAGCGGAAUUCCUGGUGUAGCGGUGAAAUGCGUAGAUAUCAGGAGGAACACCUGCGGUGUAGACGGCUUUCUGGACCAUUGCUGACGCUGAGACACGAAAGCGUGGGUAGCAAACAGG
rnacentral:rRNA from 1 species